UCCCAUGUGUCUCAGUGGUAAAGAACCUACCUGCUAUGCAGGAGAUGUGGGUUCAAUUCCCGGGUCAGGAA
rnacentral:tRNA from 1 species